UCGGCCAUCGAUUGGAAUGUUCGAGUUGUUUGCGCGCGUCAAAGAAGAUAUCUCCAUAGACCUAAAUCCGGUGAACUUUUCGAGCCGUGAUUGGGCCACGUCGCCUCGUUUUUGCAGCCGUUGGAUUUUGAUCGGACCGUCCAAAAGCGGGCACGAGGCAUCUGUGUUUCUAGACCAUUCGUCUCGAGCGUGUAGACUCCUCCCGCCGCCGCCGCCGCCUCCUCCCUCUGCUCGUCACCGCCUGCCCCAACGCCUCCGGGGCCGUCGAGGCGCAAGAGAAGCUCCCCCCACUCCACUUCACCGGCAGCUGAGCCCAAGGCAGAGCGCGUCGCGUUCGGCCGAGUCCCUCAAGUAGGAGACCGCCGACGCCGAUGACGACGGCGGAUGACGAUGACGACAGCUCCGACGCGCCACAAGCCACGGCGGCGGCGGCGGCGUCUGGAAUCCAGCGAAGCUACGGUGGCGGCGCCGAGUCUCCAUAGCAAGGCGGACGACGAGAUCUCCGGCGUUCUCCCCCGCCUGCUGUGCUACGCGUCUCUCCUACCGUUGGCUGCUGCCCUGCGCCGUCUACGCACCUCCCUCCUCCCCCGCUCCCGAUUUCCAAACCCCCCGUCUAUCUCCGCCUGAUCUGGCAACCGGAGGUCGUGGAGAGCCCACGAUGCGCUGGAUCGAGGAGCCCCAACGGCGGGGUGGAGGCGGCCGGUGGCCGCGCGGGCGUUGUGGCGGCGGGGGAGGGCGUCGCUGGCUGGGGGCGUGCGAACGGCGAGGCGACGGUGGGUGACGGCUGCACGGGCAGCGAAGCGGUCUUCACCUUGGCGAUGCCGCCGCUUACACCCGCGGCCGUCGCAACUGCCAGAUCCCAGCAACCCAGCAGCGCCCUGCUCGUCGCAAUUUCGCAGAAGCACGCCUCCGUCACCAACAGUGGCAUCAACAACAGCGGCAGCGGCAGCAGGGUUCUUGCACUGGCAGGCUGGCAGCAGCACCGUGGUGUCCUCUGCAGUCCACACCGUGCUCACCCUGCCAGCUCUAGCAGCAGCUGCUCCUUCCUGGAAUGGUGCUGUUCUGCCUACAAGGUGCUCGAUCAAAUGCCAGGCGUUGGUGUCUUUGUUAGGCGUGGUUGAGCUGAGCGCCUGAGCGGUGGGAGGAGUCAGUGUGCUGCGGCAGUUAGUGGGGGGUGCACAUGGCGAGGCCGCGCGGUGGCGGCUCCGUGGCGUGGGCGGAGGCCAAGACACCAGCGGGGAGGGUGCACCAGCACCUCAAGCGGCUCAACAAGCUGGCCAUCAGGAACAUCGAGAUAGAUACAUCAUCGACUGCGUGCAUAUCUCCCACCAACCAGCGACCAUCCUCUCCUCAAGAAUCACACAAUACAGUUUAGGCCGGCCUACCACCCUGAAGGUCUAUAUGAUGAUGCCAAGAGCAGUAUAUAUAGGCUCCAACAAUGCAGGCGAAAAGUCGAUGCCGUCACGCAGGGAUGCGCUGAUGGAGGUCGCGGGAGGCCAUUGUGCUGCUCCACCUCCUUGGCCGCCCCAGCCUCUCCAUCAGUGUGGCCACGACCCAUGGAGCCACGCGAGCUGCAGAUCAAUGCGACGGCGGCACCAAGUAAGAGCUCCUACAGUGCAGUGAUGGGGUGAGCUUGACAAGCAGCUCGCACAGCUGCAAGUCAACAUGGUGGAGCGAGCAGCAGCUCCAGCCACAGGUUCGCAUGCCUGCACCAUCCCUCCAGUGGCCAUAGCCGACGUUGCCUCCGGUGCCGGCAAGGUGUUUGACAAAAUGCCAACCUCCCAGGCGUAUAGCAACUUUAAUUUAUGAAGUGAGAAUAAUAUUGGAGCUUACAAUUAGUAGAUGAUAACUUAUAACAAAUUGAUUGUUUCAAGUGUUUACUCUUGUGGAUAAUGGAAAACCAAUCGGAAAAAAGUGCAAGAGGAGCAAGAAGACCUCUUUGUAUCAAAACAAGGAAGCAAACAGGAAAAAAAGAAAAGGAUCAAGAGCAACAAAGGUCCACAUAUAGUGUACAACUCGAAUCUUCAAAGGCUGUCCUCUUGCAUUGAUUCCAUCGAAGGAUUCUCAUGAUUUUCUAUGAAGCAACCUCUUCGAUUGUGCAAUUUUAUUUAUGUGAGCAGGGAUGAAAGAUUAGAAAUGAAUCUAUCAAAAAGUGGUAUGUUAAGUACUAUAUCUAUAUCUGAAACUCUUGUAUACUCCAACCGUUGAAUUGGCAACCGCAUAUCCACUGGAAGAUUGUAAGUAUAUAAAUAAGCAUAAUAUCGCUUGUACCUUCUUCCAUCAGAAGGUGGC